GAUGAACGCUGGCGGCGUGCCUAAUACAUGCAAGUCGAGCGAACGGACGAGAAGCUUGCUUCUCUGAUGUUAGCGGCGGACGGGUGAGUAACACGUGGAUAACCUACCUAUAAGACUGGGAUAACUUCGGGAAACCGUAGCUAAUACCGGAUAAUAUUUUGAACCGCAUGGUUCAAAAGUGAAAGACGGUCUUGCUGUCACUUAUAGAUGGAUCCGCGCUGCAUUAGCUAGUUGGAAAGGUAACGGCUUACCAAGGCAACGAUGCAUAGCCGACCUGAGAGGGUGAUCGGCCACACUGGAACUGAGACACGGUCCAGACUCCUACGGGAGGCAGCAGUAGGGAAUCUUCCGCAAUGGGCGAAAGCCUGACGGAGCAACGCCGCGUGAGUGAUGAAGGUCUUCGGAUCGUAAAACUCUGUUAUUAGGGAAGAACAUAUGUGUAAGUAACUGUGCACAUCUUGACGGUACCUAAUCAGAAAGCCACGGCUAACUACGUG
rnacentral:rRNA from 1 species